AUGGUGUCAACCUGUCCCAAGCGACCCGGAAACCCCGGUGUGCUCAUAUUAUUGACACUGCCGUUGCUUCUCUUGGGUGCUAUCAAAAUCAAUUGUGCAACGCUCCCCGACAACAGCACAGAUGUGCUCUGGCUGCAAGCUUUCAGACAUGAAAUCACUUCUGAUCCCUUUGGAUGGUUCAACUCUUGGAACUCCAGCGCCAACCAUUGCUUGUGGCCGGGAGUGAUAUGCAGCCGAGCACAUCCAGGGCGUGUGGUGGCUCUCCAACUCUUUGGCCUAUACCUGGCUGGCCAAAUCAGCUCUUCCAUUGGGAACCUUACAUUUCUCAGAACCCUGAACCUAUCCACAAAUGGUUUUUCUGGCCGAUUACCUCCUUUGAAACAUCUACAAAAACUUCAAGUCCUCGACCUAAGUGUCAACCAGUUGCAGGAUAGUAUCCCAGAUGCAAUCACCAACUGUUCCAACUUAAGGAUAGUGGACCUAGCUACAAACAUCUUGGUAGGUGAAAUCCCUCCAAAAUUAAGCCUCCUUUACAACCUCUCGCAUUUACGACUUUCUCGGAAUAAUCCCAUCGGGGUCAUCCCGCCAACCCUCGGAAACAUCACUAGCAUACAAAGACUUGGCCUUGCCUACAAUAAUCUAACUGGAACUAUUCCCGAUGAGCUUGGGAAACUGACAAAUAUGAGGAUGUUGGCCCUUGGAGGAAAUAGGUUGUCAGGUGGAUUCCCACGGUGUCUCUUCAACCUUUCUAAAUCUCUUCAAGUAUUAGGCUUGGAGUCGAAUAUGCUAAGCAAGCAACUGCCACCUAAUAUAGGAGAUGCCCUACCAAACCUGCAAGAGCUUUAUUUGAAUACCAACGUGUUUGAAGGUCGAAUUCCGGGUUCACUGGGCAAUGUUUCGGGGCUGGGAACGAUACAGUUAGAAAUCAACAGAGCUAUUUUACGGUACCAUGGUACUCCCAAAACAUGUGCUGGAGUACCGAACAGAUCUUGCCGUUCGUUGUGA
rnacentral:rRNA from 1 species